GAUGAACGCUGGCGGCGUGCCUAAUACAUGCAAGUCGAGCGAAGCGGGGAAGGGUGAGUAACACGUGGAUAACCUCCUUUAAGACUGGGAUAACUUCGGGAAACCGGAGCUAAACCGGCUCCUUAUAGAUGGAUCUGCGCGGCAUUAGCUAGUUGGUAAGGUAACGGCUUACCAAGGCAACGAUGCAUAGCCGACCUGAGAGGGUGAUCGGCCACACGGGAACUGAGACACGGUCCAGACUCCUACGGGAGGCAGCAGUAGGGAAUCUGCCGAAAUGGGCGAAAGCCUGACGGAGCAACGCCGCGUGAGUGAAGAAGGUCUUCGGAUCGUAAAACUCUGUUAGUAGGGAAGCGGUACCUAAUCAGAAAGCCACGGCUAACUACGUGCCAGCAGCCGCGGUAAUAC
rnacentral:rRNA from 1 species